AAGGGGUGCAAACGCGAAUGUACCGAAUCCCGAUCCGCACACAGCGAUGCCAGUAGCUAGGGAUCUCUUAGUUUCAAAUUGUAGAUACGUGAAGAAUGAAGAAAGUUGAUAGAAUAUAAAGAACGCUGAUCAAAGUGGAUCAUUACGCACCUCCCAUAAUACCCACUGAGAUACAUUCCAGACAGCAACGAGCCAACCCACGCAGUUUUGCCCUUUCCUUCCCCAAAAUAUUUAA